rnacentral:rRNA from 1 species
GCUUGUCUCAAAGAUUAAGCCAUGCAUGUGUUAGUAUAAACGCCUUUAUACUGUGAAACUGCGAACGGCUCAUUAUAUCAGUUAUAGUUUAUUUGAUACUUUUCGACUAUUGGAUAACCGUAGUAAUUCUAGAGCUAAUACAUGCGUAAAAUCCCGACUCUCGCGGGGAGGGAUGUAUUUAUUAGUUAAAAAGCCAAUGCGGGUUCUGCCCGGUUUUGUGGUGAAUCAUAGUAACUGUUCGAAUCGCAUGGCUUCACGCCGGCGAUAGUUCAUUCAAAUUUCUGCCCUAUCAGCUUUCGACGGUAGUGUAGUGGACUACCGUGGCGUUAACGGGUAACGGAGAAUUAGGGUUCGGUUCCGGAGAGGGAGCCUGAGAAACGGCUACCACAUCCAAGGAAGGCAGCAGG